UUUAUUUUUAUUGAUUUAAAAAAUAAAAAAAUAAACAACAAUUUUUGGCUUUUUGAUUGGGUUCAAAGCCUAAUUAGGAAUUUAAGAAAAAAAUUUAGGCUCUAUUAAAAUAAUUCAAAAAUAAGUUUCAAAAUAAAAUACCGAAUCCUAAAAUUAAAUUCAGGGCCUGAUAACAAUUAAAAAACCUGAAACUAAAUUCUCGAGGCCCAAUUUAUUAUUUUAUGGCCUAUAGCAAACAUUGGACUUCGAGCCCCACAUUUAAUUACAAUUUAAAUGAAAGUUCGAUUUAAUCUUAAAUCCAAAUCAAAUUAAUUUGAGUUUUCAAAAGUACUUUAAGAAACAUUCGAUAAAAUGUAAUUUUUACAGUCUGUUUGAUUGAAUGAUACACACAUGUAUCUUCUACUUAAUUUUACAAUUUUCUUUCCAUAAUUAAAAAAAUAGUGACCUGAUUUUAUAGCGUUGACAUCACUAUUAUUCUAUAACAAUAACGUAAUUAUCUACUAGAUAUCUACAAGGCUGGAUGCUGUAUGCUGUCACAAUCUAUCCAGUCAGCAAAAAGAUAAAAUUGUGGGUAACUAGCACGGGUUGUUAUUGCCCUGCCAUGACCCCAAAAAAAAAAAAUAGUUAGGUUCUUGCCUGACCUUCUAGAUUGCUGUCUUUUCUUUUAUUUUGGCUGAUGUUUUGAUUAUAUUAUUAUCUGGGCCAUAUCUUUUCUAACCAAUCCCACGAAAGGGAAAUAACAUGGGCGGAUAAAGGUUAGAAAAGCAAAAGAGCAAAGAAAGAAAGAGAAAAGUGAGGCAACGAAUGAAAUGACGAUGAUAUUGAGAAGACGAAGAAGAAGAGACAAAGGUUGUUGCAAUUUCUGACGCCAGCCAUCCUACCAACCCUUUCUUCCUUCUGCCUGUAUGAUUCGUGUUUAUCCAUUUUCUUUAGUUCUCUUAUCAUAAUGUUGUUUUAAAUCUGCUGAGGCUAAAGAAACUGGGAUUUGAUUGCUUGGAAUAACCCAUUUUUUAUUUUAUUUUAUUUUAUUUUAUAGGUUAAAUACUAAUUUAACUCUUGUAUUAUAUUAUUUUUGUUAAUUUUUUAUUUAGAUAAUUAAAAUUUACAAUUAAAUAUUUCAGUUCACUUUUUUAGAAACAAUUUUUUUCAAGUGGUAAUAUAAGGUGUUUUACUUAUCCAAUGACAAAACCCCAAUUGUCACUUAGUUAUUGUCGCAUCAAUAGGAAUUCAUCGCCAUGUUUCUCACAAAUAAAAAUUAAAAAAUAAAAUAAAAUUCUUCUCAAAAUUUUGAAGAAAAACGAAAAAGGGAAAAAUGGAAAUUUAUAUAGAUAUUAAAAAAAAAUUAUAAAUAAAAAAUCAAAAUAAAAAAAUUUUGAAAAUUAAAAAAAUUAAAAAUACAAAAACAUGAAUUUUUUAAAAAAUUGGACAAAUUUUUAAAGAAAUUCAAAAUAUUAAAAACUUUUUUAAAAAAAUUUAAAUCUAACAAUUCUUUAUUAACAAUACAAAAAAUAUUAAUUUUUGAAAACAUGUAAGAUAGACCAACGAAGCGUAUGUUAUGGCUUAUAACUAAUCGAAUUAACUAUAGAUAAUUUAUUAUACAAUGCAAAUACAUUAUUUUUCUAUGAGAAGACUUUCUAUUUUCUUCAAAUUAUUUUAUAUUUAUUUUUAUUUAGUUAUUAGAUAAAAUUCAUGAAAUAGAUAUACUUUGCAAAAGGAAUUGCAAAAUGAAAGGAAUUACAAAAUGCUAGAAUUAUGGAAUCUUUCUAACAGAAAAGUAUUAAUCUUAAAAAUAUUUCUUGCCAAUGCUUUAUAAAGAAAUGGAUAUUGAUAGAAAUUAUUGAGAUCAAUACAUGUUUAUGCUCGUACAUGUGAAGUAAGCAAUUGAUCUCAUAAGUUAACAAUGCAUAUACUUGAGCUAAACAUUUAGGUGUUUAUUACAAAAAGUAAAUAUAUUAAACAUAACUGAUACAAGAAUACUAUUUGAUAAUCACUUUUAUAAUAAUAUUUUAAUGUGAUAGUUGCAUAAGUGAUCUUUUUAACUUGAAGUCAAUAUCUAGCUUAUAAUACGACUCCUACAUUAUCCUAAUCAAGGAUACACAAUAUGAUGAAUAUUAGGUAUAGCAUGAAUCGUAUGAAGUUAGAUGAGUGAUCAAGAUAGAAUUCAUCACCUAAGUGAUCAGAUGAAUAUCUCAUUAUUCUUGAGAAUGAUCAACUUGAGAAAUUUUCAGCCAAAGAGGAAUAAAGUUUUGAAUAUGUUCAAAGUUCAUUUAAAGAGUUAAUAGUUCCAAGAUUCAAGAAUUAAUAUAGUUGGAUGCAUGUAGAAUAGACAUUAAUCCACACUAUAGCUCCAUCGAGAUGUUGUGAAGAAAAGAAUGAAUCAUGCUUAGAAAUUAUGCAUGGAUAGGUUAGUUAAACUUUCUUGAGUCUUCUUAAUAUUUGGAUGAUUAUAACACAUUGCUAGAUGUAAAUAUUGAUAUAUAAAUAUGUAUUAAAUAAUUAGAAAAUUAAUGUUGAAUAUAAAUGAGUUUGAUUCAUUAAUCCUAUUUAAAAAAGGAUCUCAAUAUUUAUAUUUAUUGCUAACAUUUUAAGAACCUAACAGGUCAUACAUGAUAAGAAAAUUAAGUGAUAAAUUAAAACUCAACUUGGACUUUUUUAAAAAUAAACUGGAUAUUUCCUUUAAUUAAUAACUAAUUAAUAAUCCUCAUUAAUAAUAGACAAUAAAACCUCAAAGCACUCUUCUAUCUAUUAAGAGUUAUCAUCUACCAUUUCCUCAUACUUAGCUAAUGCAUGCGCCAGUCUAUUGCUUGUACGUCUAAUGUGAGUCACUUGGCAUUGAUGAAAAGAUUUGCAUUUACCUGAGCCUCGUCCAAAAUGAUGCCAAUUGGAGCUAAAUCUGUCUCAUCAGCUCUUAAAUGAUUUAUCACACCCAAUGAAUCUUCUUCCAAUAAAAUCUUCAUGAAACCCAUGUCUUUGGCAAAAGUUAGAGCUUUAGUAAUACCCAAAUUUCUACAGUCUAAGGGUCAUUCCUCUUUUGAUCUUUGUAGGUAACACACUUAGAACAAACCCUUCAAAAUCUCUUUAAUAAACCCCACACCUCCUAUUCUAUGCCCUUUAUUGAAAGCCCUAUCAAAAUUAACUUCAACCAUUGAGUUGAGGGGCGGUUGCCAAACUUGAUUAGCAUUAGUCUCAGAAGAUUCUUUUUUUGUGAUUAAGCAUACAAAUACUCAUUCUUGUAAGACAUUACAAAACUGACUAUUUGUUGAGGACUUUCUUUUCUUCCACCAUGUAGUUCAUCAUUCCUUUUGUACUAAAUGGCCCACGUAGCAAUUAGGAACAUAUUAAAUCUUUCCUUUGUCAUCCAUUUUAACUACAUAAUUGCUCAUGUGUUGAGAAAAUUACAAAAAAAAACCUAAAAGGUGAAAAAACGUAGCUAACACUAGGUUUUCAAUUUUGUUUUUCCAUAUCUUAUUUGAAGGGUUUCUCUCUAAUUGUUCAUGUGAAUACCAUUGAAGGCUAGACAAUUAGAUAGCGGAAGGUUUACUACAACCUAGCUAAAAAGUUUCUUCGAUAAUUACUCCUGG
rnacentral:lncRNA from 1 species